CCUACGGGAGGCAGCAGUGGGGAAUCUUGCGCAAUGGGGGAAACCCUGACGCAGCGACGCCGCGUGAGCGAUGAAGGCCUUAGGGUUGUAAAGCUCUGUGGAGAGAGACGAAUAAGUCGGGGUUAAUAGCUUCGAUGAUGACGGUAUCUCUUUAGCAAGCACCGGCUAACUCUGUGCCAGCAGCCGCGGUAAGACAGAGGGUGCAAACGUUGUUCGGAAUUACUGGGCGUAAAGCGCGUGUAGGCGGUCUUGUAAGUCGGCUGUGAAAGCCCGGGGCUCAACCCCGGAAGUGCACUCGAAACUGCAAGACUGGAGUCUCGGAGAGGGUCGUGGAAUUCUGGGUGUAGAGGUGAAAUUCGUAGAUAUCCAGAGGAACACCAGUGGCGAAGGCGGCGACCUGGACGAGUACUGACGCUGAGACGCGAAAGCGUGGGGAGCAAACAGGAUUAGAUACCCUGGUAGUCCACGCCUUAAACGAUGAGUGCUAGAUGUCGUGGGAUUUGACCCCUGCGGUGUCGUAGCUAACGCAUUAAGCACNCCGCCGUCGGGAGGUACGGCCGCGACGGACGUAAACCGUACGAAGAAGUUAGACGGCGUGAGACGUAGACCGACGGACGACGACGAGGGGAGGAGGG
rnacentral:rRNA from 1 species